UUUCAUUCUUACUACACUGCGUAGGAUGC
rnacentral:piRNA from 1 species